rnacentral:lncRNA from 1 species
AGCUCUCUAGGCCUGGGUACCGGAGGGAGGGAGGUGGGCAGAGGAGGGGAGAUGGGCACCCCCAGUCUUUCCAUCCUCCUCAUUCGACUAGGGGCACCCGAAUCCCCUAUUCCUUAUUUCCCCUAUCACUCAGGCACUGGCAGGGUCCUUUGCCCACUCCUGUUGGCCGCUGCGGCUCCAAAGCGAGAUGUGCCUGAGACAGGUUUGACCAGGCAACUGAAAAGACAUCCCUAAGAGAAGACAAAGCAAAGGUAUGAAAGGAACACACAUCCCUGACUGACUAGGAGGAACAGAGCUGCCUGCUGUCUGGAACCGCUUCCUCCAAGACUAAGUGAGAAAUAAACUUCUGUUUUCUAUA